UACAAUCUUUGACUCUUCAUCUUAUUGAUUUUUUUUGCGAUUAAUAUUUUUAUUUUUAUUAGAUAAUAAAACAUGAAUUAUACUUUACGCGUGACUAUUUUUUGAUUUUUAAAUAAAAUUUUCAAAUAAGACAGAUGGUUAAACGCUGGAGACAGAAA
rnacentral:pre_miRNA from 1 species